GUUCUCAGCUUUUUCUUGUUAUUUAUCGUUUUUGCGUGGUUUAAACAUGGAUAUAUCGCAAAUUCAAGGAGUUAGAAAAGGGACUAAAGGAAAACGAGAGAUCCUCAGCAAUAGAGACAUCAACCCUAGUAGACCUAGUUGUGAAUUAUUCAAAAUCAAAAAUAGAAAAACUGAUGCAGUUACUUGAAAAGAUAACGAGAAAGUGUGGAAAAAACUGUGUGCCACGAAUUUGACUAAUCAAUCUGUCAAACCCUAAAAUGAAAUCCAUUUUAAGCGAAAACAUUACCAACCUCACAAUUUUUAUAUCCUUAAGUAAAAGGAGAUCUAACAAGAAGCAUAAAUAAGCGAUAUGGUUCGCGUAAACUUUUUUCCGAGAAAAAAUUUACCAAUGAAAAUCAUUUAGUUUACGACUCGGUUUAAUAAUGCAAUAAAAAUAAGUUGAUGAAGAAAAGAUAGCGGCCGAGGCGCUAUCUCGCCAUCAAAUUUAAGAAAAAUCGGGAUGAUUUCAACGACAUUUGACUUACUUAAGCCGAGAUUGCUUGUGUCCGAGGCAUUACAAGAAAACCAUAUCGAUGAAAACAUGAUUAUUUGUUAAA